UACAGCCACAUCAUGUUGAAACACCAGUUCCCGUAUGGUCACCAAAGUUAAGCAAUGUCAAGUCUGAUUAGUACCUUGAUGGGUAACCAAUUGGGGAAUACCAGGUGCUGUAAG